GACGAACCGUGCAAACGUUGUUCGGAAUCACUGGGCUUAAAGGGCGCGUAGGCGGGCCGGACAGUCUGUGGUGAAAGCCUCCAGCUUAACUGGAGAAGUGCCGUGGAUACUUCCGGCCUCGAGGAGGGUAGGGGCAUCUGGAACGGUGGGUGGAGCGGUGAAAUGCGUUGAUAUCCACCGGAACUCCGAUGGCGAAGGCAAGGUGCUGGACCCUUUCUGACGCUGAUGCGCGAAAGCCAGGGGAGCAAACGGG
rnacentral:rRNA from 1 species